CGGGACACUUCCGCACGUGCCAGAAGUCCACGGCCAGCGGGGUGUUGGGGAUCACUCUUCCGUUGACUGACAUUGUCUGAGGCUCAUCUGGACGCCCUACAAUCACAAAGAGCUGUCAUCCAGGUUGUUUGGUCUUACCGCCCCCUAGAGGUUAUAUCACAGCACAGCGGGUCCAGCGGACAGGGAUCCGACCUUGAUGAAAACGAUUUGAUGUUAGAAGAUGAUGAAAAUGAAUUACAAAUAUACGUUUUGACAUUUUUUUAAAUGAUGUAUGUGUAAAUUGUACUUGGGAGAUUUGCUUACUGAUUUGGGUUUAAGUCAAGUUAGAACUAAAAUGUAUGAUGUAUUACCAUUUGAAUUGGGACAUAAUGUAUAGUUGUUUAUGAUCAUUUCUAAGAUAAUCUUUCAUAUAUUUUUAUCUUGUAUUUGUAACAUUUUUGUUUCAUUUCUUUUCAAACCCCAAAGGCAUGAAGGACAGCAAACUCUAAAAUAUCUAUAGGGAGGAAUAUGAGACAGCUACUUGAAUAAAAACAAAAGAUAGACAACCACAUUGCCCUCUACAUUUAUCUAGUUUGUAAUUUUAAAGAUUUUCAUUUUUUUAGAUAAAUGUACCCGUCUCUAUUUGUCUUGAAAUAAGUAAAACCAAUCAUGAGAUAAUAAUCCACAAUGCCACCAAUACGAACACUCCUGAAGAACAUUUUAGAUCUGCAAAACGUUGGUUAAUAAAUGUCAAGUGAGGAGCAUCUGAAAUUCAUUGAAUUGUAUUGUACCCUCCAGAAGAUGGCGCCAACAGAGAGGAAACUGUUUUCUUUUUCUUCUUUUUUCUUUCUGUGAAAUAGAAAAUGACCAUAUGACAUAUUCAUAAAAAAGAUAUAAAUUAUAUUUGUUCCUAAAAAACGACAUAAUGCAUUGUUUUUCAUUUGAUUUGUUAAUUUCAGAAAACUAUAAGCAUACGUCUUUAGUAUAUGAUGCAUGUACUAAACAGUAUAACAUAAACAUGUCUUAAAUCCUUGUCACUGUAUAUGCAAGCUUAUGGAAAAUAAACUAAAAGCAGUACAAUGCAAUACAAUUCA